rnacentral:rRNA from 1 species
UUGCAGUCUGCAACUCGACUGCAUGAAGCCGGAAUCGCUAGUAAUCGCGGAUCAGAAUGCCGCGGUGAAUACGUUCCCGGGUCUUGUACACACCGCCCGUCACACCAUGGGAGUCGGAAAUGCCCGAAGCCGGUGGCCUAACCGAUAAGGGAGGAGCCGUCGAAGGCAGGUCUGAUGACUGGGGUGAAGUCGUAACAAGGUAUC